UUGAAAUAGUUAUAUAAAAAGAGUUUAAAAAAUUGAAACGUUAAGACUCUCUAGGAAGCCUCGCCUGAGAAGUUCUUUCUUAAACAGUUUGAACACACUGACAAAACUUGUUUGCAAAUGUUUCGUGAAAAAUCCCUUGAUAAAUGUAACGGAUGGUAGUUUCUGUAGAAGUGCACUAAGCUGGUUGCUGCAUUCUAUUCUUCAUUUUGGCAAUAGAGUCACAUUUGCGUAACAGGACACAGGAGAGUACGAGGCCGAAGGUAAGACUCUCUAGGAAGCCUAAAGAUGCACCAAAUGCAAGUCUUGAAUGCAGUAAUGAUUCAGCACGCACAUGUAUUGUGGAGCAGGCUGAUCAUGUGAGUCCCGAGGGACACUGUCCAUCUGCAGAUGACAUUAGACAGUUACUGUCUGAAAGGAACAAAAAGGGGAAUGGAACAACAUCAAGUUUUGCUGAACUCUCAGAAAGAGUGAAACUGCUUCGAAUUUCCAGUUCCUUGUCUGAAGAUGAGGUGCGCAUAUUGAAGUUUGUUGCCAGAAGCAAACUGAAAGUGGAUGCUCAUCGAUGUAAGGAGAUCAAAGAUGGUUUAGAAUUGUUUGAAGAAUUAGAGAACAACGGAGGACUCAGCCAUAUCUGUGUUGGAGAACUUCUCAUAGGCAUUCAUCGUUUUGAUCUUGUCGAUAUACUAGCUCGACCUGGAACUGGUAACAGUUGUGGUAAAGUACAACAUACCCAUUGAGCCCUCUGGCAAACUGGAUAUCGAAACAUACCUGGAGAGGAUUGGCCACAAUGGCAGAUCUAGCAAGGUCAGCGUACGUCGAUGGCGAUCAUAAAGAAAAUCGAAGAACACUUUCGAUACUAUGGUUUUUGGGGACUAAUAAUAUUGAUGUAUUGGAGGAAAUAGCGAGCUGGCUCCGCAAUUAAUUUAACAACGGUUUCCGUUUUAAAUACAUCUUCUGUUAUCGUCAGUUGCAACUGGAAUUAAUUUGAACAUACUAGUCAUAUACAAGUUUUAUAAAAUAGGUGUUACCUAAAAUAACUUACAUAACUCGUAUCUACGUGGAAAUGAAGCCAAGACAGAAAGUUAUUUCCAUUUUGUCGUAAACAUUAUAGGCACAACUCAAUUUAAUACUCGGAAUGACGUUUAUACGUUAAUAUAUUAAUUACUAAGUUAUGCAUUAAUUAUUAAGUUAUGGUUAUUGUUAAGGACACUAGACAAAGGCCAAUUUUGAUAAGUUAAUAAUUGUCUCUAUAUCUUAGUUACGAACGUAGUUACAAUGUUUCCUUUGUUCAACUGGGACCGAUAUGUGAGUACCUUUGUCAUUUUGAUUAGGUAACGUUUUUAUAGUAAUGGGCGAAAGAAUACAAUGGAACAUAUGUACAACGUUAAUUGUUUUAUAAUCGUCUAAAUUAGAGAAUGUUCUUUUAAAAACGUUACUAGAGUGAACGCCCACCUUUUAGGUUCGUGAGCAUUAAACUGUUAAUCAGUUCCUUUUGUUGUGUAAUUCUGUGAUUGAAUCUUAUUUAGUAUCUUAGCGUAGUAUUUAUGCUGGCUAUUUUUGAUGUAUUGUUAUUCAAUUUCGUUAUGUUAUCGACUCGAAAUCGUUAGUUUGUCUCGUGUAGGUUUUAACUGUUUGUGACGCAACUUUUCGCUAAAUUGAUAGAAAUUUGUUACAUCUUGUUAUUUCAGUUAACGAUCGUUUAUUUUGAUGCAAUAAAUCGCCGAUAAAGGUCAACUUUGGUUUUCCGUGGUUUACUUGUCUACCCUUGAAGACGACCUGUGAAGUAGUCCCACCCACUAGUUUGUCGCGACACGCCUUGAGCUCGUUUUGUUUCGUCUCGUUUUGGAAUUUGCCAGUCGCUGCAAGCGCAACAGUUAUACUGUGUUGUGGUUUCUCACUGUACAACAUUACGGUGUUAUUAUUGUCUUACUACUGUCUUGUCUGUUCAAUUGUUAUUUAACCACAGGCAGUCCAAGC